AAUUCUGCAAAUUUUAUUUGCCAAAAUAACACAAUAUAAUCACAUCAGUUUCAAUUAUUUUGUCAAAGCAACAAAGAGUCCUGUGGCACCUUAUAGACUAACAGACGUAUUGGAGCAUGAGCUUUCGUGGGUGAAUACUCACUUUGUCGGAUGCAUGUAGUGGAAAUUUCCAGGGGCAGGUAUAUAUAUGCAAACAAGAAGCAAGCUAGAGAUAACGAGGUUAGUUCAAUCAGGGAGGAUGAGGCCCUGUUCUAGCAGUUGAGGUGUGAAAACCAAGGGAGGAGAAACUGGUUUUGUAGUUGGCAAGCCAUUCACAGUCUCUGUUUAAUCCUGAGCUGAUGGUGUCAAA